rnacentral:rRNA from 1 species
AGCAGCCGCGGUAAUUCCAGCUCCAAUAGCGUAUAUUAAAGUUGUUGCAGUUAAAAAGCUCGUAGUUGAAUUUCGGGGCCAGUAGGUUGGUCGUGCCACUGGUAUGCACUGGCCUUACUGGUCCCUCCCUCUUGUAGAACCGUGAUGCCAUUAAUUUGGUGUUGCGGGGAAACAGGACUGUUACUUUGAAAAAUUAGAGUGCUUAAAGCGGGCUCGCGCUUGAAUACAUUAGCAUGGAAUAACGGAAUAGGACGAUCGAACCUAUUUUGUUGGUUUCUAGGAUCGACGUAAUGAUUAAUAGGGAUAGUUGGGGGCAUUAGUAUUCAAUUGUCAGAGGUGAAAUUCUUGGAUUUAUUGAAGACUAACUACUGCGAAAGCAUUUGCCAAGGAUGUUUUCAUUAAUCAAGAACGAAAG